rnacentral:rRNA from 1 species
ACUCCUACGGGAGGCAGCAGUGGGGAAUAUUGCACAAUGGGCGCAAGCCUGAUGCAGCGACGCCGCGUGCGGGAUGACGGCCUUCGGGUUGUAAACCGCUUUUGAUCGGGAGCAAGCCUUCGGGUGAGU